rnacentral:rRNA from 1 species
AGUGAACGCUGGCGGUAGGCCUAACACAUGCAAGUCGAACGGCAGCACAGUAAGAGCUUGCUCUUACGGGUGGCGAGUGGCGGACGGGUGAGGAAUACAUCGGAAUCUACUUUUUCGUGGGGGAUAACGUAGGGAAACUUACGCUACUACCGCAUACGACCUACGGGUGAAAGCAGGGGAUCUUCGGACCUUGCGCGAUUGAAUGAGCCGAUGUCGGAUUAGCUAGUUGGCGGGGUAAAGGCCCACCAAGGCGACGAUCCGUAGCUGGUCUGAGAGGAUGAUCAGCCACACUGGAACUGAGACACGGUCCAGACUCCUACGGGAGGCAGCAGUGGGGAAUAUUGGACAGUGGGCGCAAGCCUGAUCCAGCCAUACCGCGUGGGUGAAGAAGGCCUUCGGGUUGUAAAGCCCUUUUGUUGGGAAAGAAAAGCAGCAGGUUAAUACCCCGCUGUUCUGACGGUACCCAAAGAAUAAGCACCGGCUAACUUCGUG